GUCCCAGUAGCUCAGCAGGAUAGAGCAACGAGCAAUAGCUUCUUUGAAACAACUGCGAGUUGCCCCGACGCAUCCAUCUUCUUCGAGUAAGCUUGUAGAGGAAGGGGCAUCGGCUCUAAGCCGUCGGUCGGGAGUUCGAGUCUCUCCUGGGACGCCA
rnacentral:tRNA from 2 species